AAUACGACUCUCGGCAACGGAUAUCUCGGCUCUCGCAUCGAUGAAGAACGUAGCGAAAUGCGAUACUUGGUGUGAAUUGCAGAAUCCCGUGAACCAUCGAGUCUUUGAACGCAAGUUGCGCCCCAAGCCGUUAGGCCGAGGGCACGCCUGCCUGGGUGUCAC
rnacentral:rRNA from 2 species